UUAUGUGAUAUUAUUUAUUAAAAAAAUUAAUAACAAAGUUAUAUACAACAUUAUGCUUCAUUUAUAAGAAAAAAAACAACAUGCAAGUAAAAUACAUCUAUUACAAACACAUUUCAAAAGUAACUACAAAACAUUCCCCUAAAAUCACACUGAGUUUUCCAAAAAAAAAUUAUCACAACCUAUGAAACAAACAGUAAAAAACCAUUUCUACAUUAGCAGAGUUGAAAGAAAGAUAAAUGUUGACCAUCUAAACAUUACCCAAUUAGAGAUGAAGAAUUUAAACAUAUAAAGUUUCAAGGAUGCAUGGUGGUUGAUUGAUAGAAUAGAAUGUCUGAACUGGGUGUACCAGGUUUGAAUCCUGGUGAAGACCAUAAUUUUUCUGGAUCUAUAGUGCCCCUUCAAGUCCACCCAGCUCUAAUGGGCACCUGACAAUUUGGGGAAAAUUUAAAGGCAGUUGGUCGUUGUGCUGGUCUGGCCAUAUGACACACUCGUUACCAUAGGCCGCAUAAACAGUUGAUCCUUACUUAUAUGCCCUAUAGACAGCAUGGUCUGAAAGGGGAACUUUACUUUUACCAAGUAUCCAAUUAGUUUGCCAUGAGAUAUACAUUACUUCUUCAUUUCACCUGAUAUACAAUGUCUUCAUAGAAUAAAAAGUACAAAUAAAACUAAUAAAUGUACAUACAUUUUUCUUUAAGUACUAUAAUUAAUUAUUUUGUUUUUAAUUAUAGACUCAUAAAGUUUUGAGUAAAUUUUUGUUCAAAUGUUCCUCAAAUUAAGGCCUCAAGAAUUCAUCUCAAGAACAGAAUAUUAUUUGCCUUUUUUUUUUCAUUCUGUGGCUCUUAAUCGCAAACAGACAUUUAAAAAAACAUCUAAAACAAAAUAUAGCAGUAAAGAACCUGCUGGGAAGGACUGACAUAGACAUGGGAGGUAUUUUGAAAAGACUGAUACUGAAAGUGAACUAAUUUUUCAAGGUGCAGAAUGAAUAGUGAUAAGAGAACUAUGAGGAGUUAAUGAACAGAAAGAAACAGGGGAAGUAACAGAUCAGAAGUCCUACUGAAAAACAUAAAAAUACAAUGAGUGUUAAAAAAAAGUAAAUGCCUGUUUCAUUAAGAUGCAUCAAUUCUAGAUUAUUUAUUUCGUUUCUCCUUAUUUCAAUUCAUAUUUUAGAUCUCCCUCAUCUGCUGCACACAGCAUCAAGAUAUUUGUUUAGAUACUGGGCAAAUAAGAGGUAAUACCUCAUUAGGAACUAACAAAUUAGAGCUAAUACCUCAUUAGGAACUAACAAAUUAGAGUUUACGCCUCAUUAGGAACUAACAA